UCCAGGAUGGCCGAAUGGUUAUGGCAUCAGACUUCAAAUCUGAUUCUCUUUUCGGAAGUGAGCGCAGGUUCGAAUCCUGCUCCUGGAC
rnacentral:tRNA from 1 species